GGCGGGACACGUGGUAUCCUGUCUGAAUAUGGGGGGACCAUCCUCCAAGGCUAAAUACUCCUGACUGACCGAUAGUGAACCAGUACCGUGAGGGAAAGGCGAAAAGAACCCCGGCGAGGGGAGUGAAAAAGAACCUGAAACCGUGUACGUACAAGCAGUGGGAGCACGCUUAGGCGUGUGACUGCGUACCUUUUGUAUAAUGGGUCAGCGACUUAUAUUCUGUAGCAAGGUUAACCGAAUAGGGGAGCCGAAGGGAAACCGAGUCUUAACUGGGCGUUAAGUUGCAGGGUAUAGACCCGAAACCCGGUGAUCUAGCCAUGGGCAGGUUGAAGGUUGGGUAACACUAACUGGAGGACCGAACCGACUAAUGUUGAAAAAUUAGCGGAUGACUUGUGGCUGGGGGUGAAAGGCCAAUCAAACCGGGAGAUAGCUGGUUCUCCCCGAAAGCUAUUUAGGUAGCGCCUCGUGAAUUCAUCUCCGGGGGUAGAGCACUGUUUCGGCAAGGGGGUCAUCCCGACUUACCAACCCGAUGCAAACUGCGAAUACCGGAGAAUGUUAUCACGGGAGACACACGGCGGGUGCUAACGUCCGUCGUGAAGAGGGAAACAACCCAGACCGCCAGCUAAGGUCCCAAAGUCAUGGUUAAGUGGGAAACGAUGUGGGAAGGCCCAGACAGCCAGGAUGUUGGCUUAGAAGCAGCCAUCAUUUAAAGAAAGCGUAAUAGCUCACUGGUCGAGUCGGCCUGCGCGGAAGAUGUAACGGGGCUAAACCAUGCACCGA
rnacentral:rRNA from 1 species